GUUGCGUUUCACGCUCUGGGAGCCCGGGUGUCAAAGCCCGACUCUCUUCACGGUCGGACAACAUCGCCGGAGUGGUGGUCGGUGCGUCGUUGUUGUAUCUGCGGCCAGAGUUGGAAAGUUCUUUCGGGUUCUUUUUUAAUUUUGGUCGUAGUUGACUCGAUUCGCUCCACCCAGUCAAUCGUUCGGGGUGCCCUUCACCGGGUGUCUCGGGCGGCCGGCAACGUUUACUUUGAACAAAUUAGAGUGCUCAAAGCAGGUGUAUCCCAACGCCUGAAUAUCGCAGCAUGGAAUGAUGGAAUAGGACCUCGGUCCGAUUUUGCUGGUCUUUUACUUUUGGACCCGAGGUAAUGGUCAAUAGAGACGGACGGGGGCAUUCGUACUGCGGCGACAGAGGUGAAAUUCUUGGACCGCCGCAAGACGAACAACAGCGAAGGCAUUUGCCAAGAAUGUUUUCCUUGAUCAAGAACGAAAGUUAGAGGUUCGAAGGCGAUCAGAUACCGCCCUAGUUCUAACCAUAAACGAUGCCAACCAGCAAUCCGUCGGAGUUACUCCAAUGACUCGACGGGCAGCUUCCGGGAAACCAAAGUCUUUGGGUUCCGGGGGAAGUAUGGUUGCAAAGCUGANACUUAAAGGAAUUGACGGAAGGGCACCACCAGGAGUGGAGCCUGCGGCUUAAUUUGACUCAACACGGGAAACCUCACCAGGCCCGGACACUGGAAGGAUUGACAGAUUGAGAGCUCUUUCUUGAUUCGGUGGGUGGUGGUGCAUGGCCGUUCUUAGUUGGUGGAGCGAUUUGUCUGGUUAAUUCCGAUAACGAACGAGACUCUAGCCUGCUAAAUAGGUGACGGGUUUUAUCAAUUGAAACCGAAGGGAGUACGGAGGCGUCGGGAUCAGGUGGCGGCGAUUCGGGUCUCGGUGGGACUGGUUCCUUUAGUGAGGCAAUCUCUCGGCUUGGUUUCGUUGUGCUUUGUUCGUCGGGUGUACGGCCUUCACGGGUUGGUUGCCUGGCGGAUGAGGUAUGGCGGGGCUUUGUCGGGAAUGUCUCGCGGGGGCUGGCUCUAUUGUUAUUCGGUCGUCGUCAUCCCCGGCGAUACCUUCUGCUCUCGCGUCCGUCACGCAGUCUUCUUAGAGGGACAAGCGGCGUCCAGCCGCGUGACAGUGAGCAAUAACAGGUCUGUGAUGCCCUUAGAUGUCCUGGGCCGCACGCGCGCUACACUGAAGGAAUCAGCGUGUUUCACUCUCCCUGUCCGAAAGGACCGGGUAACCGCUGAACCUCCUUCGUGGUUGGGAUUGGGGACUGCAAUGAUCCCCAUGAACCAGGAAUCCCUAGUAGGCGCGGGUCACUAGCCCGCGUCGAUUACGUCCCUGCCCUUUGUACACACCGCCCGUCGCUACUACCGAUUGAAUGAUUUAGUGAGGCCUUCGGACGGGCUUGUCGGGGUGCCGUCGAGUGGGGAGCAAUCUCUGCCCGUGCGGUGCCUACCAACGGCGAGACUGAAAGAU
rnacentral:rRNA from 1 species